CCCUUAGAUGUCCUGGGCCGCACGCGCGUUACACUGAUGCAUUCAACGAGCUUAUAACCUUGGCCGAGAGGCCUGGGCAAUCUUGUUAACGUGCAUCGUGAUAGGGAUAGAUUAUUGAAAUUAUUAAUCUUGAACGAGGAAUUCCUAGUAAACGCAGAUCAUCAAUCUGCAUUGAUUACGUCCCUGCCCUUUGUACACACCGCCCGUCGCACCUACCGAUUGGAUGUUUCGGUGAAGAUUCCGGAUAGGACUUUUUUGAUUUAUUUCAAUUUUGUCUUAAAAGCUAUCUAAACCUCAACAUUUAGAGGAAGGUGAAGUCGUAACA
rnacentral:rRNA from 1 species